GACGAACGCUGGCGGCGUGCCUAAUACAUGCAAGUCGAGCGCAGGAAACUGACGGAACUCUUCGGAGGGAAGGCAGUGGAAUGAGCGGCGGACGGGUGAGUAACACGUAAGGAACCUGCCUCAAGGAUUGGGAUAACUCCGAGAAAUCGGAGCUAAUACCGGAUAGUUCAACGGACCGCAUGGUCCGCUGAUGAAAGGCGCUCCGGCGUCACCUUGAGAUGGCCUUGCGGUGCAUUAGCUAGUUGGUGGGGUAACGGCCCACCAAGGCGACGAUGCAUAGCCGACCUGGGAGGGUGCGCGGCCACACUGGGACUGAGACACGGCCCAGACUCCUACGGGAGGCAGCAGUAGGGAAUCUUCCACAAUGGACGAAAGUCUGAUGGAGCAACGCCGCGUGAGUGAUGAAGGUUUUCGGAUCGUAAAACUCUGUUGUAAGGGAAGAACACGUACGAGAGGAAAUGCUCGUACCUUGACGGUACCUUACGAGAAAGCCACGGCUAACUACGUGCCAGCAGCCGCGGUAACAC
rnacentral:rRNA from 1 species